UACGGGGGGGGCAAGCGUUGUUCGGAAUUACUGGGCGUAAAGGGCUUGUAGGUGGCCAACUAAGUCAGACGUGAAAUCCCUCGGCUUAACCGGGGAACUGCGUCUGAUACUGGAUGGCUUGAAUCCGGGAGAGGGAUGCAGAAUUCCAGGUGUAGCGGUGAAAUGCGUAGAUAUCUGGAGGAAUACCGGUGGCGAAGGCGGCAUCCUGGACCGGCAUUGACGCUGAGGAGCGAAAGCCAGGGGAGCAAACGGG
rnacentral:rRNA from 1 species